AUUCAAUCGAAUUUCAAUUUGUUGUGAGGAAUAGUUUUUGAUUCCUUAGAUCUGUGUGCUUAUGGCGCAUAGAAGAUCAAAGUUGCUCAUCUUGUUGUGUUGUUUAUCCUACACUUUGUCAAUUGCCAUUGCUGCGAAGAGUUACUAUGAUAUUUUGCAAAUUCCAAAAGGUGCUUCCGAUGAGCAGAUCAAACGAGCUUAUAGGAAGCUUGCGUUGAAGUAUCACCCUGAUAAGAAUCAGGGAAAUGAAGAGGCUAAUAAGAAAUUUGCUGAAAUCAGUAAUGCUUAUGAAGUGAUUUCGGACAGUGAAAAGAGAAAUAUAUAUGAUCGAUAUGGGGAAGAGGGUCUUAAACAACAUGCUGCUAGCGGAGGCAGAGGAGGUGGAAUGAACAUGCAAGACAUAUUUAGCCAGUUUUUCGGCGGGGGCUCAAUGGAGGAGGAGGAAGAGAAGAUUGUG
rnacentral:misc_RNA from 1 species